AAGGAGCCCUCCAACAAGAGGGACGCGAGGUUGGACAGAUCAAAGAAGAUAGCCUCAGGAGGCAAACAUCCGAAAUAAGGGUUAUCGUGAUGAUAAAAACAGAUCCCUCCAAUAUAGAGCAAGUCCACGCUUUACAGAAGAGCCACUGGGUGAUGUCCAGCAGCAGAAAAG